CCUAAUCGAGAUAGCGAAUAUUUGCGGUUUAGGUCUCCCUGUUGACGAUUGGCUAGAUAACGGGUGCUUCACUACAGGCCUACUGUACAUAGACCUGUGGAAUAACAGGCCUAGUUCAUCAAUUUAUUGCUGCAUCAGUAGAUACAAGGAAGUGAAGCAAAUAAAAUUUCUAUAAAAGCACAUGUUUAUACAUGCAUGGCGGAUGGUCUAUACUAUCACAAUGCACUAAAUCACUGACUGCUAUACGUAGAAGCUGUAGAUUGAUCCAGGGUGCAGGCAAAUUAUUGGAUGAUAAGCAGGUCGAUGGUUAGCUAUGAUAUCAAAUGCAGACAACAGGAAACCUACUGGGUAAGACAGAGCAAUGCAUGAUGG